UUGUGCAUACUGACCCUGAAUCAAAUCAGGUUUCUGCCUACAAGAAGGAAGAAGAAAUGGCAGCUAGGUUCUCUCUCUUUGCCUGCCGCCAUCUACGUAAGAUGUGACUUGCUCCUCCUUUCCUUCUGCCAUGAUUGUGAGGCCUCCCCAGCCAUGUGCAACUGUUCCAGAGGCCUCCCCAGAAGCAGAUGCCAGAACUAUGUUUCCUGUAAAAUCUCAGAACCCUGAGCCAAUCAAACCGUUUUUCCUUCAAGAAAACUCUCACCAGAUGCCAGCCCUUCAAUUUUGGAUUUCCCAGCCUCCAGAACUGUGAG